rnacentral:rRNA from 1 species
GACGAACGCUGGCGGCGUGCUUAACACAUGCAAGUCGAACGGAAAGGCCCUGCUUUUGUGGGGUGCUCGAGUGGCGAACGGGUGAGUAACACGUGAGUAACCUGCCCUUGACUUUGGGAUAACUUCAGGAAACUGGGGCUAAUACCGGAUAGGAGCUCCUGCUGCAUGGUGGGGGUUGGAAAGUUUCGGCGGUUGGGGAUGGACUCGCGGCUUAUCAGCUUGUUGGUGGGGUAGUGGCUUACCAAGGCUUUGACGGGUAGCCGGCCUGAGAGGGUGACCGGCCACCUGGGGACGACGAUCCGGCCCAGGCCCCUAGGGGAGGCAACGGGGGGGAAUAUUGAACAGGGGGGGAGAGCCUGAUGCGCAAACCCCGGGGGCGGGAUGGCGGCCUUGGGGUUUAAACCCGAUUUCGCCUGGAACGAAGGGGGAGUGACGGUAAUGGGUAAAGAAGCCCCGGCUAAAUACGG